rnacentral:rRNA from 1 species
UACGGAGGGGGCAAGCGUUAUCCGGAUUCACUGGGUUUAAAGGGUGCGUAGGAGGGCAGGUAAGUCAGUGGUGAAAUCUCCAAGCUUAACUUGGAAACUGCCGUUGAUACUAUCUGUCUUGAAUAUUGUGGAGGUGAGCGGAAUAUGUCAUGUAGCGGUGAAAUGCUUAGAUAUGACAUAGAACACCAAUUGCGAAGGCAGCUCACUACUCAAUCAUUGACUCUGAGGCACGAAAGCGUGGGGAUCAAACAGG